CAGUAGCCACGGUAAUACGGAGGGGGCUAGCGUUGUUCGGAAUUACUGGGCGUAAAGCGCACGUAGGCGGCUUGGUAAGUUAGAGGUGAAAGCCUGGGGCUCAACUCCAGAAUUGCCUUUAAGACUGCCGAGCUAGCAGGUGAGAGAGGUAAGUGGAAUUCCGAGUGUAGAGGUGAAAUUCGUAGAUAUUCGGAAGAACACCAGUGGCGAAGGCGGCUUACUGGCUCAUACUGGACGCUGAGGUGCGAAAGCGUGGGGAGCAAACAGGAUUAGAGACCCCCGUAGUCCCUGUCUCUUAUAC
rnacentral:rRNA from 1 species